CUGGGCGUUGGGCCUUGCCUGAAGGGCUUUGUGCCAGAAUUGGGUCGCGUCCAAGCAUUCCACAGCAAGGAUUAAGGAAUACAGCACAAGGCAGGUAGGAUACUGCUCUCUCUUCCUUCUCUAGAAUUGCUGACAUGUUUGUUUUUUUAUCUUACAUACGUAGGUCUUGUUGGUAAACAUUAAAGUAACCUUUUAGCAUCAAGAAACUGUGGCAUGAGGAGAUGCAAAUGUCAAC
rnacentral:lncRNA from 1 species